rnacentral:lncRNA from 1 species
UUUUCAUGUGUUGUGAUGAAGCUCCAAUAUUAGUCCCUACCUGGUUCCCCAGGGCCCUUGGGGAGACCCUCAAGUGUCUCCUCUAUGCUGGAUUCAUUCCCUGAGUUGGCUCCAUUAUUAAGGAUGUGUUCCUAUUUAGUAAUAAUAAAAAUAAAUAAAUGCCUGGCAUGGGGCUUGGCAUUGAGCAAUGAAUUGAGUGGAAGCCUCACACCUGACUCUGCCAGGCAUUCCAAGCAUCCCAAAGCUGUCGGGGGGGUCUUUAUGGCAAGGUCCUGCUCUUUCUGGGGUUCUGACUGAGUCCAAGCCCACUUUCCCAAGAUUAUGACCAUGGGACCCUUCGGUGAUUUUCACCUCCAUGCCCCACACCCCUGUGCUCAGUCAGUUCUGGUACAUGUCGAGCUUGCCAAACUCUCUGGGCUCUGUGCCUUCCUGUUUGGCUAUACUUCCAGAGGCAAUCUCUGUAGCCAGGACAGUUUCCUCAAUGGUCUUUAUCUCUUGCCAAGCCCAUCCCCCUUUUAUGCCUUCUCUAAGUCUAAAUCUGCAGAGAAGACCCCUAGAGUGAUGUUUGGGGGAAACUGCAUUAAUCAGGCAUUGGUCCAUCAGCCUUUAGGGGCCUAGUUCAUGGCAGGGGGACAAAUAUUCAGAUCCCGAGAAUUCCAUAUGCUGAACAUCGGUGGGAAUUGGCAGAACCUGCUCAGUGUUGCAUGCCCAGACCUCAGAGAAGACUUGUCCUCUCUUGUCUCCAUUCAGUCACAUCCAACCACAAAUUUGCUAUAAGCAGGUCAUCAAAGCUAUCCAGGCCUCAGCUUUAAGGCCAAGAUUUCCUUUGGAAGAUAGCUUUGGUAUAGAGAGAAAAACAUAGAGCUCAGAAUCAGCAGAACUGAGUUCAAAAGACAAUUCAAUUUCUUAGAUGCAUGAAUUUGAAUAAGAUAGGGUCUCUGAAUUUCAGUCUUUUCAUCUAUAAAAUGGGAACAGUAAAAAUACCUAAGUAGAUUUUAAGUCAGGUUUAAAAAAGAAAAUAUAUACAAAAUUCUUCAUAAACUGAAGCACAUAUGAUGCUAUAUAUUAUAUUUAUUUAUAACUGACUUCUCAAAGAGUUUAAGAUUUCAAAAGGCAAAGUGAGAUAAAGGAAGUUCCAGAUUCCAGUAAUGACAAAGUAGCUUGGCCAGACUAAUUCUUCAACAGAUAACAAUAAUAAAAUGUAUGUAAAAUAAUUUUAAGAGCAUUGGAGGGCACCACGAACUGGAAGAAAUUUAAUGGGAGAUCAAUCCUUGUUAGAUAAGAAAUGCACUAGUGAGAUUUGUGAAUUAUCAGCUUUUUAUCUGAGGGCACAUCCCAAUCCCUUCACCUCAGGAUGGAAUAAAACUAUAGUUCUUCUACCUCAAGGUGUCAGAGAAUGGAGAUCUGAGCUGGCAAAAUUGCAGAAAAGCUAGUGUGUGCAUGUGUGUGUGUAUGGUUGGGGGAUAUACCACAAAUAAGAGAGAUACAGAGAUAGUGAGUGAAAAAAAUCUGCAAAUAGAUUCUUCUGAAAGUAUUGGUUGACUGCUGAAAAAAGAAGAAUACAGAAGCUGUGCUUAUCCCAGAGAAGACAAAAUUUUGUCAAGUUAAUUGAACAAAUAUAAACACUCCUCAAAAGAAGAUAACAAAAUCCAGAGACUCUAUACCUUCCAAACUGUCUGCAUAUAAUUUCAAAAUUACUAGGCAUUCAAAGUAAUAAUAAUGUAUAGCCUAUACUUCACAGAUAAGCAGUAUGUUCAAGAGCUUCUCAGAAAAAUAUGUCAUAGUGAAUUAAGAACAAAGAAUAUUAGCAAAAAAUAGCAACUAUUAAGAAAGCAAAAUUUAGAGUUGAAACUAUAAAACAGAAUAUUAUAAGUGUCAGAAGAAAGAAACAAUAAGUUGAAAAAUAGAUGAAUGGAAAUGAUCCAAACCAAAAAACAGAAAGGAAAAUUUUUGAAUAAAGAUUAACAAAGCUUUAGUGAACUUUGAGACAAUAUCAAGCAAUCUAGUAUAUUUAUAGUUGGAGUUCAAACAGGACGUCAAAGAUAAAAUGGAGUAGAGAAAAAUAUAAUAAUCAAAAAUUUCCCAAAUUACUUAAGUUCAAUUUAGAGUUGCAAGAAAUCCAGUAAACAUCAAACAGAGUAAAUGUAAUCAAUACCAUGUAAUAUCAAAUGUCUGACUCCAAAGGUAAAAAGAAAAUCUUAAAAGUACACAAAAGAUCAUACAUUAUGCACAGAAUCAUAAUGCCACAAAACUGCUGACUUCUUAUCAGAAAUCAUGAGAGUCACAGGCAAUGGAAUGAUGUCUUUAAAAUAAUGAAAGACUAAGACUGACAACAAAAAAUGCUAUACUCAAUACAAUUACUCUCAAAGCAUGAAGGCAAAAUAAAGACAUUUUCAGAUUAAGAAAAAAUGAGAUGGUUUGUAGUCAGGACAUUUACUGCGCAGCAUAUUUUGAAAGAAGUUCUUCUGGCUGAUGGGCAGUAACACCAGAUAGAAAUUCUGACAGAUCAACAAAAAAGAAUGAGUAGCACUAAACAUAAUACAUAUUGUAUAAAUAUGAAGGAGGGUUUUCCUUUCCUUUUCUUCAAAAAUACAUGCUGCUUAAACAAAAACAGCUAAUAUUUUGUUGUAGUGUUUAUAGUGUAUAUAGAUUGUAAAAUGUGUACAUAUAUACAUACAUAUAUGUGUGCAUAUAUAUACACAUAUAUAAUAACACAAAGGAUGAUCAUGUCAAUAGAAACUUAUUGUUCCAUGUUUCCUAUAUGUCAUGUGAAGCAGUAAAAAGUAAUACUAUAAAGAGUAAAGGCACCUAUGGUAAUCACCAGUUAAAAGCUGGAUCAUCAGUUAGUCAUGAAAAGAGGUACACUUAAAAAGCUAUUAGUUGGGGUAAAAGUGAAUAUUAAAAAUUGUUUGAUUAAUUCAAAGCUAGGCAAGAAAGGUGGAAUAGAGGAAUAAAAAAAAGAACAAGUAGUAACAUGAUAGAUCUAAUACAAUAAUAUCAAUAAUUAUAGUAAUAUAAAGAGACUAAAUUCUCAAAUAGAAGGCAAAAACUGUUAGAUUGUAUUAAAAACUCAAGGCCCAACUACAUGCUAUACACCAAAGACAAUUUUUAAAUACCAAUAUAAAUAAAGCAAAGCAAAUUUUAUGACCACACCUAACUCUAAGGUGAGUACAGAAGUACAAUCCAACCAUUGUGCUGAGAUAGUGAACUAAAUAUCUCUGAACAUAAGGUCUCUCUUCUGUCCUGCAAAGAGAAGGGAGGAGCUUGAUGUCUUUUGAAUAUCAGACACCCACUGUCCACUCGAUUGGCCAGAGUGCCUAGUGAGCAUUAUGCCCAGGGUUCCUAUGCCAAGCCCAGUGCCCACUGAUAAGCAGGCUUGAAAUAAGGGUGGCAUUUUCAGGAAUUAGUAGGGUCCAAAAUAUAUUGGACAAGGCUGUUCUUCUUUAGCUGCCAAAGGCACAGGCAAGUGGCCAGCCCAAACUUUUAGUAUCUAGCAUCAGUGUUCAUUACCCCCCGCCCCAAGCAUUUAAGAGAGGGACUUAUGCCAGCAAAAUCAUCUCCUCCAUGGCUGGUAUCUCACUAAUUAUUUUAAUAGGAAGAAAUCACACCAGUUAUUUUAACAGGAAGAAUUUAAUACAAAUUAAAUUGUGAUCCAAGUAAAAGAAUUGUUAACUAGAUAUGUGAAAAGACAAAAAGAUGCACUAAGAUAUCACAGAGAUCACAAAUGCCGAAGAGCUACUACCCCUAGGACUGGGGAAGCAAAGAGAAAAGAUGGAAACUAAACUCUAGAAGUAUGGAUGAGGGUCCCAUGAAUGGGUUAUGGUCUCUAUGCAGCUGGUUAUUCAAGAGUUGGAAAAAUUGGUUCAGCUGUUGCUGUAGAAACACCCAACUGCCUAGGUAAAGAAGGAAGCCUGAGAUGAGCUACCAGAAGUGCGCAGGAAGCUGAGAGGAAGAAACUCCCUUUUUCUUCCUCCUGCCUUGUAGUCUGACUCUGGCUCCCCCUAUUGACAGAAUAUAUGAUGGAGCAGGAGGGCAAAUCAGAAAUGAGGUGUAAAGGCUCCAGUCCCAGCAUCACAAAUCUGAGUGUGGAAUAAUGUUUGGAGCCAACAGACAAUGGUUUCAGGCCUGACCCAGCUGGGCUAUGGCCAGUCCAACAGUGAUUGCUGGGCUGGGCUCCCCAGACAGGUAAUUUGAUAUGGGCACUGGAGAGAAGGAUUCCCUAUAACAUUUGGGAGCAAAUUGAGUCAAAGGGUAACUGGGUCCAAGGGAGUGUGGCAGGAACAAAAAAUGGCUGCAUAUUAGGAAGAAGAGGGUCUAUAGAGCUAGUGUCAGAAGAGAAAACUGAAGGAGGCUGGUAAAUGUAGGAGCAAUAUAAGGCAUGAAGAGUUUAGACAGUAAUGAAACAAGAAGGUACAGAAAUUUGCAGGGCCUUGCUGUCUAAACCCCCUGUGGGAUGGCUGUAUAUUAGUGGGAAGAUUAAAGACAUGGUUUGGAUAGGGUGCUGUAAAUUGAGACAGGGAGCAAUAGCACUUAUCCAUCUAUUUAUCAAUCAGCCUUAUUUUGUGUUUUAGAGGACAAGAGAUGUGCAAAUCAGUUUGUGUGUGCAUGUGCAUGUACAUGCAAGUACACAGGUACAGGAAUGCAUGUCCUGGGGGAUCGUUCCAGAAGAACACUGUAACAUUGAUGCAUAGGCAAUAUAAUAUGUAUUUAUUAUGGCUAGUGAGAGAGAAUUGUGUCUUAAUGGAGAAGGUGAUUGUUAUUCAUGAUUUCCAAGUGGUUAACUAGAUCCAGAGGAUUUGCAUUAAACCAAGUCAUUCCCCUUCUAUGCUUGCUGGCCAUGAUCGAUGGAAAUGUCAAGUCCCAUGUGAUCUCUGAGCUCGCAUUCCCUUUCUUCUAGAAUUGGGGCAUUUUUCCCCUACCAUUUCUGCUCUGAGUCUCAUUUCCACAAACAGUGCUGGUGAUAUGUCUAUGGAUUUGAUCUUCAAUUUCUAACUUCUUUUAAAGGGCAUUGUCAGCCCAUAACACAAUUUCUAAAGCAGAUAUUGUCCUGGUAUUCAGGAAAAAAAAUAAGGAUGAAAGAAAGCAUGUGACUCUGAAUGUGAAAUGCAAGAUUUCACAGAAUCAUGGAUUUUUCAAGCUAGAAAGCACUUUAAGGAUUACUGAGUCCAGGUUCUUCAAACUCUGUUUUAAACAGAAGAGCACUUUACACUAGCUGUUGGAACUGGCAGUAAUUUUUUGAAUGAACAAAUGAAUGAACAAGGCAGAAUAUGUGAUAGAGAUUUUUAAAGUAGAAGAAAUUACAGGAUCAUAAAUACAGGAGUCACAACAUUGUCCAGGGUUUUCUGGAAUUAUUGAAGCCAAAACAUAGGAGAGGGAGAGGGAAAGAUGGAAGAGGAACCCAUUUCCUACAUUUCAAAUUAA